AUUGAACGCUGGCGGCAGGCCUAACACAUGCAAGUCGAACGAGUGGCGGACGGGUGAGUAAUGCCUGGGAAACUGCCUGAUGGAGGGGGAUAACUACUGGAAACGGUAGCUAAUACCGCAUACCAUCGGAUGUGCCCAGAUGGGAUUAGCUAGUAGGUGGGGUAAGGGAUCACCUAGCCGACGAUCCCUAGCGGGGCUGAGAGGAUGACCAGCCCCACUGGAACUGAACCACGGUCCGGACCACUCUGGGAGGCGGGGCAGCGGAAUGUAGCACUAUGCGAGCAACGUUAAUGCGAACCAGCCACGUGUAUGAAAGAGGCCUGGGGGUAGGAGAGUAAUUUUGCCGGGGUGGCGGUACCGGAAGAAUAAGCACCGGCUAACUCCGUGCCAGCAGCCGCGGUAAUAC
rnacentral:rRNA from 1 species